rnacentral:lncRNA from 1 species
UACCAUUUCAACUUAAAUCACACAUACAAAUUUUCAAGCCUAUUUAUUCAAUCACAAUCGAUCAUUUCCUAGUGUGUAUUUCUUCUAAAGAGUAAAUCGUACCCCAAACUCUGUUACUACUAAAUAUUAUGAAAAUCUCUUAUUUCACAGUCUUCUAUCCAAUUUCAUUCAAAUUCCUAAAAUUACUAAUAUUAUAAAUAUCAUUCAACAUACAUCUAGAUCGUAUAACCUAAACUUUGAUAACAUUAAAAAUCACAUGAAUCUCUUCUUUCCUUUAAUUCUCUUUUUCUUUUCAUCUCAUUUCAAUUCUCAAAACCCCUAAUACCUCAAAAAUCAUUUCACAUACUUCCGGACCAUAUAACCUAAACUCUG